UGAUAAUUAGUUUAACUAAAACAAAUGAUUUCGACUCAUUAGACUGUAAUCCACAUUACAAUUAUCAA
rnacentral:tRNA from 1 species